AGAGAUGUGUCCUUUGGGAGCCA
rnacentral:siRNA from 1 species